rnacentral:misc_RNA from 1 species
GAUGAAGAACGCAGCGAAAUGCGAUAAGUAAUGUGUAUUGCUGAAUUCAGUGAAUCAUCGAAUUUUUGAACGCAUAUUGCACCUUAGAGUAUUCUUUAAGGUAUACCUGUUCGAGCGUCGUUUAAAACAAUAAAGCUUUGCUUUUUGAUGGAUUUUGAUAGUGAGAUAUUGGGGACAUUCGUGUUUCUCUCUUCUCAAGUUCAACUUCUUAAACAUAGUGGCGUUUUGCUUAAAGCUUGUUGUCAGUGUACAGUGAAAAUGUAUAUAAUGACGAAGCACGAAGUAAUAGACGCAACAGUAAAAACCACAAUUAUUAGUUUCGACCUCGAAUCAAGUAAGACUACCCGCUGAACUUAAGCAUAUCAAUAAGCGGAGGA